rnacentral:rRNA from 1 species
UACAGAGGGGGCAAGCGUUGUUCGGAAUUACUGGGCGUAAAGGGCGCGUAGGCGGCCCGCUAAGUCGAACGUGAAAUCCCCGAGCUCAACUCGGGAACUGCGUCCGAUACUGGCGGGCUUGAAUCCGGGAGAGGGAUGCGGAAUUCCAGGUGUAGCGGUGAAAUGCGUAGAGAUCCGGAGGAACACCAGAGGCGAAAGCGGCGCUCUGGGCUGCACCUGACGCUGAACUGCGAAAGCCAGGGGAGCGAACGGGG